rnacentral:lncRNA from 1 species
UCUGCUUCGAGGAUGACAUCUGUCAGUUUAUGUAUGAUCACAUCCAAAGGGCCCUGGUCUUCAAUGGGUUUGGUAAGGUCAAGCUGUACUACUUCCACUCCUCUUUUCCGGCACAGCUCGGCGAAGGCCUGGAAAUUGAGCUUCCUGAUCUUCUUCUCGCUCAGCCAGUAGCCCACCCGCUUCCCCUUGAGGAAGGUCUGCAUGGUGCCUCUCCGGGAGACGGCGGGCGCCCGCUCGCGGGGCGGAUCGACCCGGAGCAGCCCGGCUGCUGUCGGCGCUCGACGUCUGCGGAGCAACGGCCGCCGCCUGCUGCUCCUCGCUGCUCCCGCUGCCGCUGCUGCUGCUGCGCGGUACUGCUGCAGCCGCUCAGCUCCCCAUUUGCCCGCUAUCCGCGGCCGCCUCCGCUUCCUCCUCCUCCUCCGGCCCGUCCCCUCCUCCCC